CAAAAUAGUGAUAUGGAGCAAAACCCUAAAAACGAUCUCAGUUCGGAUUGAAGGCUGAAAUUCGCCUUCAUGAAGCUGGAAUUGCUAGUAAUGGCAGGUCAGCAUACUGCCGUGAAUACGUUCCCGGGCCUUGUACACACCGCCCGUCACACCAUGAGAGUUGGGAAUACCCGAAGCCUGUGAGCUAACUGUAAGGAGGCAGCAGUCGAAGGUAGAAUCAAUGAUUGGGGUGAAGUCGUAACAAGGUACC
rnacentral:rRNA from 1 species